GAGCCCGCACAAGCAGUGGAGUAUGUGGUUUAAUUCGACGCAACGCGAAGAACCUUACCAGAGUUUGACAUCCCGAGAAUCCGACGUAAUGGUUGGAGUGCCCUUCGGGGAAUUCGGUGACAGGUGGUGCAUGGUUGUCGUCAGCUCGUGUCGUGAGAUGUUGGGUUAAGUCCCGCAACGAGCGCAACCCCUACGUUUAGUUGCUACGCAAGAGCACUCUAGACGGACUGCCGUUGACAAAACGGAGGAAGGUGGGGAUGACGUCAAAUCAUCAUGCCCCUUACACUCUGGGCUACACACGUACUACAAUGACGAAGACAAAGGGAAGCCAAGCCGCGAGGUGGAGCAAAUCCCAUAAAUGUCGUCUCAGUUCGGACUGCAGGCUGCAACCCGCCUGCACGAAGUUGGAAUUGCUAGUAAUCGCGGGUCAGCAUACCGCGGUGAAUAUGUUCCCGGGCUUU
rnacentral:rRNA from 1 species